rnacentral:rRNA from 1 species
AAAGCCCUGGGCUCAACCUAGGAACUGCAUUCAAAACUACUAAGCUAGAGUGCGAGAGAGGAGAGUAGAAUUUCUGGUGUAGCGGUGAAAUGCGUAGAUAUCAGAAGGAAUACCAAUGGCGAAGGCAGCUCUCUGGCUCGUCACUGACGCUGAGGUGCGAAAGCGUGGGUAGCAAACAGGAUUAGAUACCCUGGUAGUCCACGCCGUAAACGAUGACAACUAGCCGUUGGGCAGAUUUAACUGUUCAGUGGCACAGCUAACGCAUUAAGUUGUCCGCCUGGGGAGUACGGCCGCAAGGCUAAAACUCAAAUGAAUUGACGGGGGCCCGCACAAGUGGUGGAGCAUGUGGUUUAAUUCGAUGCAACGCGAAGAACCUUACCAAUCCUUGAAAUCUAGCGAAGUUCGCAGAGAUGUGAAUGUGCCUUCGGGAACGCUAUGACAGGUGUUGCAUGGCUGUCGUCAGCUCGUGUCGUGAGAUGUAUGGUUAAGUCCAGUAACGAGCGCAACCCCUAUCCUUAUUUGCCAGCGCGUAAAGGCGGGAACUAUAGGGAGACUGCCGGGUGAAACCCGGAGGAAGGCGGGGACGAGGUCAAGUCAUCAUGGCCCUUAUGGGUUGGGCUACACACGUGCUACAAUGGGAAGUACAGAGGGAUGCGAAAGCGCGAGCUGGAGCCAAACCCUUAAAACUUUUCUUAGUCCGGAUUGGAGUCUGCAACUCGACUCCAUGAAGUCGGAAUCACUAGUAAUCGCGAAUCAGAAUGUCGCGGUGAAUACGUUCUCGGGCCUUGUACACACCGCCCGUCACAUCAUGGAAGUGGGUUGCACCAGAAGUGGUUAGUCUAACCUUUGGAAGACGAUCACCACGGUGUGAUUCAUGACUGGGAUGAAGUCGUAACAAGGUAGCCCUAGGGGAACCUGGGGCUG